AGCGAACGCUGGCGGCGUGCUUAACACAUGCAAGUCGAACGAGAACGGGCUAUAGCUUGCUAUAGUUGUCAGCUAAGUGGCGCACGGGUGAGUAAUGUAUAGGUAAUAUGCCUCUUACUAAGGGAUAACAAAUGGAAACGUUUGCUAAUACCUUAUACUCCUUAUUAACAGAAGUUAAUAAGGGAAAGAUUUAUUGGUAAGAGAUUAGCCUGUAUUGUAUCAGUUAGUUGGUGGGGUAAUGGCUUACCAAGACUAUGACACAUAACUGGUUUGGGAGGAUGAUCAGUCACACUGGAACUGAGACACGGUCCAGACUCCUACGGGAGGCAGCAGUGGGGAAUAUUGCACAAUGGACGAAAGUCUGAUGCAGCAACGCCGCGUGGAGGAUGACACAUUUCGGUGCGUAAACUCCUCUUAUAUGAGAAGAUAAUGACGGUAUUAUAUGAAUAAGCACCGGCUAACUCCGUGCCAGCCGCCGCCGUAA
rnacentral:rRNA from 1 species